GCGUUAGUAGUGUAACGGGUCAGCACGCAUUCCUGGAAAGAGUGAGAUCUGAGUUUGAAUCCCGGCUAACACU